GGCCUAUGAUGCAUGAUCAAUUUGUCCGUACCAUCUGAGACAUUUUCUUUAUAAUGUCUCUGACGAAUACUCAUUUUUUUAAUCUGAGGCCU